GGAGGUGGCUUAGUAGUAGAGCACAUGUCUUACAUGUAUGAGGCCCUGAGUUCAAUUCCUGGCACCACUU
rnacentral:tRNA from 1 species